ACAUGUGACGCUAUAUUGCAAUAGAAUCAUCUUGUGUGGAUGAGAAAGCAGAACAUAAACUUCUGAGGAGCAUCGACACAGUAUUAGCAAUGAUACUGAUUAGCCACAGCCAAGCUCCUUGCGGAGCCAUGUUUUCAAAGUGUUCUCUAUCGACUCCACCCAAAUUCAUCACAGCAACAAACCCACUACGAUUCUCGAAUCUUCUACCCAAAUUCAUUGAUACCUCAAGAAUCUCCGUAAGAGCCAAAGCACAGGGAAACAUCGAUUCAGGUUCAGCCACCAAUUCCUCUUCUUCUCCUUUUGACAAUGAACAAACGGUUUUCGUGGGUGGCGAGGAUGUUCCAUUGGAGGGUGUUAUCCAGUUCGACAAACCCACCUCUUCUUCUCCUCUUGAAAAAUGGGGACGUGUGGCUCUGCUAGCUAGUGUGGAUGUGUUGGCCUUGCUUUUGUUUGCAACGAUUGGAAGAUAUAGUCAUGGCCUCUCUAUUUUGGACAUUGAGACUCUGCGCACUGCUGAUCCUUUUAUAGCUGGGUGGUUUUUGGGUGCUUACUUGCUUGGAGGUUAUGGGGAGGAUGGCCGUGGGAUGAAGGGUCUCCCCAAUGGAGUCAUUGCUACUGCUAAGUCAUGGGCUCUUGGGAUCCCUAUAGGAAUAGUAAUAAGAGCAGCAACAUCAGGAAAUCUCCCGAAUUAUGGUUUUGUAUUUGUGAGUCUGGGAAGCACUGCUGUUUUACUUAUUUCAUUCAGAGCAUUACUAUAUACUAUUCUACCAGUAGAUAAAAGUAAGAAGAAUGAUGACUAUCGCCGUGGCAGUCCCUUUGAACUCUUUGAGCUGCUCACAUCAUUAGUACGGCGGUGGUAACAAUUGGUUGCAUGUCCAAGGCACCAUAAUGUAUUAACGACUAAAAUAAAACAAAGAUAGUGAUGUAGAACAGCAGCACAAGAGAAAUAAGAAAAGGAGAUAGCUAGCCUUUUUAUUAGCAACAGAUUGGAACUUGAUUACUUUGAAGAAUGGACUUUGACAGACACUAGAAAUGACACUGAAAUGGAUAUUCGGACACACACGUAGUGAAAACGGGAUCCAUUUCCCUACAUCUUAUGAAAAGGGAUAUAGGACAAUUGAUGGGUUUAAGGCUGAAGGCUAGAAAUUUUCCUAGCAUUUAGUAGCAAUUGUAAUUGACAACUUAAGAUUUUCUUAUAGAUUGGUUAUAAUGUCUUAUUUCUGCCUUGGAAUCUACUACACAGUUCAUUCAGCAAAGGAAGAGCUUAAUGAGUUGAAUGGUAAGAUUGGUAAGUGAUAAUGUAAUUUAUUACCAUAGUGGUGCAAGAAUCUUUUUGCAUUUGAAAAUAAGAAAACAGCCACCUUCCUCUGUAAAUAAAUAUGACACACCUCUUUUUUUUUUAAUUCAUUCAUCUGAACUAUCUACCAGACCAGUCAUGUUCAUCAAGGAAGCUAAUAUUGGACCUAAUCCCAAGUAUAUCUGUUCACUCUGCGAUGAUAUGCUUCUUAAACAACACCCUUUAUUGCUUGUGUGGUUACUUGGAGUAUAUGACAUUAUGUGGUUAGGACAACAGUUUUAGUUAUUUUGCCUACUUGAAUUGCUGGCUCUAAAAUAAGAGUUUUGCUAUGUAGUACCAACACUUGUCACACGAAAUUUGACAAAAAGCAACGUGUUUAAAUAGUAUUGGUUGAAUAAUAAUAAUAAUAACAAUGAAAGAAGAAGAAGAAGAAGAAUGGCUGCUGCUUGUUCAAAGGAGCAAUUAGAGGGUUGGGGGAAUAUUUGGAGUUUCGAAUUUUCAGGUUACUGAAUCUUCAAAAUAAGCAAAAUUAAAUUGAUGUUGAGCAAAUCACCACCAUUUUGUGCGUUGGGUCAACGACACUGUUAACUAUCGAUUUUGAGGCUUGCAGCAGAAUUUUAUAGUUUGUGGGUCAAUCUAUUAGGCCUUAAGUUUAUAUACCCUUUAUGUGAAUUUUUGGUAUUAGUUUACAUUGGCGUUGUUAACGUCUUUGUCCGUUUAAAUCACUAGAAUGACAGAAUGUAUAUUAUUAGUGCAUUGCUAUUUUCAGUUGUACAUGGUUCUGAAAGUAAAUAAUCAAUCAUUUAUUACUCU